GCUGUAUCACAUGUCUAGUUGUAGGUUGCAGAGGGGAGAGAGGCUAUGUCUAUACUCAGUAUUCUGAUCUAGGAACACCUAAAUGUUUAGUAACCUAACACU
rnacentral:snoRNA from 1 species